AGAGUUUGAUCAUGGCUCAGGAUGAACGCUGGCGGCGUGCCUAACACAUGCAAGUCGAGCGAUUCUCUUCGGAGAAGAGCGGCGGACGGGUGAGUAACGCGUGGGUAACCUGCCCUGUACACACGGAUAACAUACCGAAAGGUAUGCUAAUACGAGAUAAUAUACUUUUAUCGCAUGGUAGAAGUAUCAAAGCUCCGGCGGUACAGGAUGGGCCCGCGUCUGAUUAGCUAGUUGGUAAGGUAACGGCUUACCAAGGCGACGAUCAGUAGCCGACCUGAGAGGGUGAUCGGCCACAUUGGAACUGAGACACGGUCCAAACUCCUACGGGAGGCAGCAGUGGGGAAUAUUGCACAAUGGGCGAAAGCCUGAUGCAGCAACGCCGCGUGAGCGAUGAAGGCCUUCGGGUCGUAAAGCUCUGUCCUCAAGGAAGAUAAUGACGGUACUUGAGGAGGAAGCCCCGGCUAACUACGUGCCAGCAGCCGCGGUAAUACGUAGGGGGCUAGCGUUAUCCGGAAUUACUGGGCGUAAAGGGUGCGUAGGUGGUUUCUUAAGUCAGAGGUGAAAGGCUACGGCUCAACCGUAGUAAGCCUUUGAAACUGGGAAACUUGAGUGCAGGAGAGGAGAGUGGAAUUCCUAGUGUAGCGGUGAAAUGCGUAGAUAUUAGGAGGAACACCAGUUGCGAAGGCGGCUCUCUGGACUGUAACUGACACUGAGGCACGAAAGCGUGGGGAGCAAACAGGAUUAGAUACCCCGGUAGUCCACGCCGUAAACGAUGAGUACUAGCUGUCGGAGGUUACCCCCUUCGGUGGCGCAGCUAACGCAUUAAGUACUCCGCCUGGGAAGUACGCUCGCAAGAGUGAAACUCAAAGGAAUUGACGGGGACCCGCACAAGUAGCGGAGCAUGUGGUUUAAUUCGAAGCAACGCGAAGAACCUUACCUAAGCUUGACAUCCUUUUGACCGAUGCCUAAUCGCAUCUUUCCCUUCGGGGACAGAAGUGACAGGUGGUGCAUGGUUGUCGUCAGCUCGUGUCGUGAGAUGUUGGGUUAAGUCCCGCAACGAGCGCAACCCUUGCCUUUAGUUGCCAGCAUUAAGUUGGGCACUCUAGAGGGACUGCCAGGGAUAACCUGGAGGAAGGUGGGGAUGACGUCAAAUCAUCAUGCCCCUUAUGCUUAGGGCUACACACGUGCUACAAUGGGUGGUACAGAGGGCAGCCAAGUCGUGAGGCGGAGCUAAUCCCUUAAAGCCAUUCUCAGUUCGGAUUGUAGGCUGAAACUCGCCUACAUGAAGCUGGAGUUACUAGUAAUCGCAGAUCAGAAUGCUGCGGUGAAUGCGUUCCCGGGUCUUGUACACACCGCCCGUCACACCACGGGAGUUGGGGGCGCCCGAAGCCGGAUUGCUAACCUUUUGGAAGCGUCCGUCGAAGGUGAAAUCAAUAACUGGGGUGAAGUCGUAACAAGGUA
rnacentral:rRNA from 1 species